UACGUAGGGUGCGAGCGUUGUCCGGAAUUAUUGGGCGUAAAGAGCUCGUAGGCGGUGUGUCACGUCGGCCGUGAAAACCUGCAGCUUAACUGUGGGCGUGCGGUCGAUACGGGCAUCACUGGAGUUCGGCAGGGGAGACUGGAAUUCCUGGUGUAGCGGUGAAAUCCGCAGAUAUCAGGAGGAACACCGGUGGCGAAGGCGGGUCCCUGGGCCGAUACUGACGCUGAGGAGCGAAAGCGUGGGGAGCUAACAGG
rnacentral:rRNA from 1 species